AUCCACUUUCACACUAGGUAUACACAUUUUUCAAGAAUGUUCAAGUGAACACAGUGACACAUGAUGUGUAUGAAAAGUGUAUAAAGAGAGUGCGAGACAAUCAAGGAGUGAAUAUAUCACCUUCCUAAUAUGUAAAGCUUCACAUUUGGUGUUCCUUUAGAUCCAAAUUAGCAAUGAAAACCAGAGAAGUUGUUCAUGUGGCAGUAGAAUUCAUGCUACUUGUUAGAAGGGGUAGUGAAUUUCUUAUUAGGAAGUCUGGGUGAAGACUAUUUGUAUUUGAUACGGAGGAAAAUAGUUCAGUCAGACUGGUUGGUAGGAUGUUCUUCUGCGAAGUGGAAAAGGGUGAGUAUUGGGGGCACUAGAUCUUAUGCUCUCUUGGAAAGUGAAAUAGUCCUUACAAAUAAAAGGUUAUGGAAGUCUGAAUUGGAGAUGAAAGGUUAUGGAGAAGAGUAAUAGUGAUGAGCAGAACUACAGGAUUAAUAAGAAUGGUGGAGGUAGCUUCUUAUGCAAAGGUGGGUUGAAUGAAAAGGUGCAUGUCCCAAGAUGUAUUUAAAUAAAUUAAUAUAAUCUUACAUUUAGCUAUUCAACGACUGAUGUGCAAAUUUGCUUUUCUUUUCAUGCUCAUAAUGUUCACCCCGGCUGAUGAGAAACACAGAACGUAGGCUGUCAAAGAAAUCAAAACGUAGGUUCAGACAACCUGGCAUUGUCCCUGCUGCUUAUGCCAAAGUGAUGAAGAAGCUCAAUUUUUGUGGUUAAACAUUAGGAUUCCAAAGUAGGUGCUGCCAAUUCCUGGAAUUAAAGAGGGAAAGAUUCACCUCCAGCCUUCUGUUUUUUCAUGCUUUCCUCCUACUGCUUGCAUUUCAGUCCCUCAAUCAAGCAGGUUGUAGAGCAGGAUUUUUGUAGCUGGUUGUUUACAACAAUUGGUAAAUUUAAUUUAAGGCUAUUGCUUAGCCGAAUGAUUCUUAAUAAGUCUGAUAUUACUGUGGAAACUAAUACCAACUCUUUGUGGGCUUA